GAGCAUUGGAGAUGCUGCGUACGAUUCUCUCUGGUACGAAUCAAAUUCCAGAGACAGUCGUAUUAUAUUGUUGUUAAUAAUGAGGUCGCAAAAUCAAUUGACUAUUACAAUUGGAAAGAUAAUGAAUUUGUCUCUAGAACAAUUUAGCAGUAUUGUAAAAGCUUCGGCCUCCUACAUGUCAGUCCUGCUUGCAAUGUAUUGAAGCAAAACUACAUUUCAUUUACAUUAAAUUUUUAAUAAACAGCUUGUUAUUGUUUAGUUUUUAAGAAAUGUGCAUAUAAAUUAAAACAACAA